GGGGGGCUCGACUCAUUGCCAUGGGUCUAUUGGAGCGAUAAGAGGGACCUGAAGUUCCCUAUGGCAGAUCAUUAAAAGGAGAAAAGAAAACAAACAAAAAAAGAUUAAAAACACACAAAAAAAGAGCGUUCGUCUUUGCAAAUAAUUAAUAAUAAUAGUAAUAAUUAAUAAUUAAAAAAGAAAGCAAAUUGGAUGUGGUUUUCUAGUAGUUGAGCGUAUUGAGUUAUUUGGUGGGGGAGAAAUAAUGGAGUUCUGGUGUUGAUGGUUCCGAUGGGUUCCGUCCAACUUGGGAUGAUCCAUAGAUUGGACCCAUAGAUUGGACCCAUAGAUUGGACCCAUUGGUUCUCAUGGGUUCUAGGCCCCAUAGACGACCCCAGUCAACAUCAUAGGCCCCAUAGACAUCAUAGGCCCCAUAGAUGUCCCAAAUCAAUAGGUCCCAUACACGACCCCAAUCAACAUCAUAGGCCCCAUAGACGACCCCAAUCAACAUCAUUGGCCCCAUAGAUGUCAUAGGCCCCAUAGAGGCCCCAAUGAACAUCAUAGGCCCCAUAGAUGACCCCAAUCAACAUCAUAGGCCCCAUAGACGUCAUAGGCCCCAUACACGACCCCAAUCGACAUAAUAGGCCCCAUAGACGACCCCAAUCAACAUCAUUGGCCCCAUAGACAUCAUAGGCCCCAUAGACGACCCCAAUCAACAUCAUAGGCCCCAUAGAUGCCCCCAGUCAACAUCAUUGGCCCCAUAGAUGCCCCCAAUCAACACCACAGACCAUAUCACAAGACCAGACCCCAUAGACUUUAUUGCUGGCUCCCUAUAGGGUCGACCCACCCCCAUGGCUGGGUGGGGGGGGGGAUAUAGGGGGGUACAUUAUAAUAUGGGGGGGGGGGUCUCAGAGCUGCAGAUAUUCAGCCACGAAGGCAAUGAGGAUCUUACACAGGUCUUCUAUGGUUGGGGGGUGAAGGUUGUCCUGGGUGUCAUCCACCGUGUGCCAGACCCACGGGAAGGGGAGGGGGAUGAGGUGCAGCACUGGGACACCCCCUCAUUAUAUCUCCUUAACGCUCCAUCCAGGGCAGCGGCCACCUCCAUCAUGAUGGCGCAUGGGACGGCGGAGUCGACGGCCCCGAUGAACGGAGUCACUUGUGGGGCCGGGAGGAUUUUGGUGUCGUAAUGACAAGCCAAGACCAGACGAUGUGGGGCAGGAGGGGACGAGGUGGCCACCAGGUUGGUGAAGGUCACGGCCCCACGCGGGGUGGGGGAGGUGAAGGUGUCCAGGUCCAAGUGCCAACCGAG
rnacentral:lncRNA from 1 species